GGUGAUGAACGAAAAGGCAAAUCAACGCGACAACGGCUAGGAACCUUCAAACGAUGUCAACAUCGAACAAAUCAAAAGACACAAGAAAUUCAGUAACAACGCCCUAAUACAAAAAUGAACAAGGAACCUUCGGACAACAUCAACGUCGAACAAGAUAAAAAAUGAAAGAAGUCCGACGGACGCAAUUCAACACAAUGUGCGGGCAAGGUAACAAAAAAUCUCCUUUUCAUUCUCGAUUAACAAGGUAUACGUUACAAAGCCCUGAAGGUCAAGGAAAGAAGAACAAUACUACAAGACCUGAAAAGAAUACAU
rnacentral:lncRNA from 1 species